GAUGAAGAACGUAGCGAAAUGCGAUAAGUAAUGUGAAUUGCGGAAUUCAGUGAAUCAUCGAAUCUUUGAACGCACAUUGCGCCCUCUGGUAUUCCGGGGGGCAUGCCUGUUCGAGCGUCAUUACAUCCCUCAAGCUUUGCUUGGUAUUGGACAUUGCCAGUUUCUGGCAGGUCUUAAAAUCAGUGGCGGUGCCAUUUGGCUUCAAGCGUAGUAAUUCUUCUCGCUUUGGAGAUCCAGGUGGUUACUUGCCAAUAACCCCCAAUUUUUUCAGGUUGACCUCGGAUCAGGUAGGGAUACCCGCUGAACUUAAGCAUAUCAAUAAGCGGAGGA
rnacentral:misc_RNA from 1 species